CUUUUCUUUUUUGUUAAACAUGACACGUUGACACUAGUCCUUUUUUCAUUAGUCAAAACUAGAUAAGAAAUCUAUUAAUUAGGUUUUCUAAGGGAAAGUUAAUCUCUUGAUUUUAAAUUUUAACUUGGGUAAUUUCCCACGUCUUAUGCGUGUAUGUGCGGCAAUUAAAUUUUUACAUUUACUUUUUUUUUUUUUUUACCAAUUUUUUUACAUUUACUAAUGUGGAAUGCAACUACAUUGACCAUUAAUACUUCUCUCCUUAGCUAAAAGAAGAUCAGAA
rnacentral:lncRNA from 1 species